GAUGAACGCUAGCUACAGGCUUAACACAUGCAAGUCGAGGGGCAGCAUGGUCUUAGCUUGCUAAGGCCGAUGGCGACCGGCGCACGGGUGAGUAACACGUAUCCAACCUGCCGUCUACUCUUGGACAGCCUUCUGAAAGGAAGAUUAAUACAAGAUGGCAUCAUGAGUCCGCAUGUUCACAUGAUUAAAGGUAUUCCGGUAGACGAUGGGGAUGCGUUCCAUUAGAUAGUAGGCGGGGUAACGGCCCACCUAGUCUUCGAUGGAUAGGGGUUCUGAGAGGAAGGGCCCCCAGAGUGGAACUGAGAAACGGUCCAAACACAUACGGGAGGCAGCAGUGAGGAAGAUUGGUCAAGGGGCGAAGGCCUGAACCAGCCAAGUAGCGUGAAGGAAGACUGCCCUAUGGGUUGUAAACUUCUUGUAGAAAGGAAUAAAGGCGGGUAUGUAUACCCGUUUGCAGGUACUUGAUGAAUAAGGAUCGGCUAACUACGUG
rnacentral:rRNA from 1 species